UACGUAGGGGGCAAGCGUUAUCCGGAUUUACUGGGUGUAAAGGGGGCGCAGACGGCGAUGCAAGCCAGGAGUGAAAGCCCGGGGCCCAACCCCGGGACUGCUCUUGGAACUGCGUGGCUGGAGUGCAGGAGGGGCAGGCGGAAUUCCUGGUGUAGCGGUGAAAUGCGUAGAUAUCAGGAGGAACCCCGGUGGCGAAGGCGGCCUGCUGGACUGCAACUGACGUUGAGGCCCGAAAGCGUGAGGAGCAAACAGG
rnacentral:rRNA from 1 species